AAAGUCGUAACAAGGUUUCCGUAGGUGAACCUGCGGAAGGAUCAUUAACGAAAUUAUGACUGGGGUUGUAGCUGGCCUAUAAAACGGCACGUGCACGCUCCUUUCACAAUCCACACACACCUGUGCACCUUCGCGGGGGUCUUCUUUUUCCUUGGGAAGUCGAUGCAAGUCGAUUGUACCUCGGGGGGAGGGCUCGCGUCCCUUUACACACACCCUUUUGUAUGUCUUAAGAAUGUCUACUCGAUGUAAUAAAACGCAUCUAAUACAACUUUCAACAACGGAUCUCUUGGCUCUC
rnacentral:misc_RNA from 1 species